GACGAACGCUGGCGGCGUGCCUAAUACAUGCAAGUUGAGCGCUGAAGGUUGGUACUUGUACCGACUGGAUGAGCAGCGAACGGGUGAGUAACGCGUGGGGAAUCUGCCUUUGAGCGGGGGACAACAUUUGGAAACGAAUGCUAAUACCGCAUAAAAACUUUAAACACAAGUUUUAAGUUUGAAAGAUGCAAUUGCAUCACUCAAAGAUGAUCCCGCGUUGUAUUAGCUAGUUGGUGAGGUAAAGGCUCACCAAGGCGAUGAUACAUAGCCGACCUGAGAGGGGGAUCGGCCACAUUGGGACUGAGACACGGCCCAAACUCCUACGGGAGGCAGCAGUAGGGAAUCUUCGGCAAUGGACGAAAGUCUGACCGAGCAACGCCGCGUGAGUGAAGAAGGGUUCCGGAUCGUAAAACUCGGUUGGUAGAGAAGAACGUUGGUGAGAGUGGAAAGCUCAUCAAGUGACGGUAACUACCCAGAAAGGGACGGCUAACUACGUG
rnacentral:rRNA from 1 species